rnacentral:rRNA from 1 species
UACGGGGGGAGCAAGCGUUGUUCGGAUUUACUGGGCGUAAAGGGCGCGUAGGCGGCCACUGCAAGUCGGUUGUGAAAUCUCCGGGCUUAACCCGGAAAGGUCAGCCGAUACUGCAGGGCUAGAGUGCAGAAGGGGCAACUGGAAUUCUCGGUGUAGCGGUGAAAUGCGCAGAUAUCAGGAGGAACACCGAUGGCGAAGGCAGCUCGCUGGGACGGUACUGACGCUGAGGCGCGAAAGCGUGGGGAGCAAACAGG